UGCGGGGUGGAGCAGCCAGGUAGCUCGUCGGGCUCAUAACCCGAAGGUCGCAGGUUCGAAUCCUGCCCCCGCUACCA
rnacentral:tRNA from 2 species